rnacentral:lncRNA from 1 species
AGUGGAGGAGAUAUCCUUGCUGAUGGCAAAAACUGCUUUUUCUUUUUGGGACGGAAUCUUGCUCUGUCGCUCGGGUUGGAGUGCAGUGGCGCCAUCUCAGCUCACCAAAACCUCCACCUCCUGAGUUCAAGUAAUUCUCUGCCUCAGCCUCACGAGUAGCUGACAGGCGCCCACCUCCACGCCCGGCUAAUUUUUGUAUUUUUAGUAGAGAUGGGGUUUCACCAUCUUGGCCAGGCUGGUGGAUCACUUGAGGCCAGGAGUACGAGAUCAGACUGGCCAAGAUGGUGAAACCCCAUCUCUACUAAAAAUACAAAAAUUAGCCGGGCAUGGUGGCACAUGCCUAUAGUCCCAGCUACUUGGGAGGCUGAGGCACAAGAAUUGCUUGAACCCAGGAGGCAGAGGUUGAGGUUGCAAUGAGCCAAAAUCACACCACUGUACACUCCAGCCUGGGUGACAGAGUGAGACUCUGUCUUUAAAAAAAAAAAAAAAGGAACAUUAACUGCAAUAUUCUUGAUGAUGCAAAUUUUUAAAAACUAAAUCCAGCCAGAUUUUUCAGCCUUAAAAACUAAGAUCCAAACUAUUCAACAUCUCUACAAAUUAUAUACUCAUUGAAUUCAGGAACAAUAACAGAAUU